CUAAUCCCUGUCCAGGCUGCCUUCUAACUUCUGUAAUGUCUGUCCAGAUAGCUGCCUAACUUCCCUAAUCCUUCUCCAGGCUAACAUCUAACUACCAUAAUCCCUGUCCAAACUGCCGCCUAACUACCCUAAUCCAUCUCCAGACUAACGUCUAACUACCCUAAUCCGUCUCCAGACUAACGUCUAACUUCCCUAGUGUCUGUCCAGAUUCAUAUCAAAAAAAUUAAAAACAAGAAAUAAAUAGUGCUU